rnacentral:lncRNA from 1 species
UACUCUCUGUGUUGGAACUUGCAAUUCCCUAGGAAUUACACAUUGGUAUAGGCAUAUGAUGGAGGAAUUUUGAAGAUUUACUACUGCCAAAAAGACAGACACAGGAACCUGAAGAUGCAGUGUGGAAGAGGCAUGCAUGCAAAGGACAGAAGCUGGAGAUGGGUCAGCUGUCAGUCAAAUGAAGAUUCUAUUUGGAAUGUUACCGGGAAAAGCAGUUUGGAGCCAACCCAAUGUUUACACUGCUGGAUGACCAGGGCCAUUUUGGCGCUAUGAUUCUCCUGCCAUUCUUCUAGGCUGAUAAGCUGAAGAAGAGGAUGCCACCAGGGCCUUCUCAGCGGCCUUCCUGGAAUGAAACUUCUGCUUUCCUUGGGUCAUGUCCAUGAUUCUCGACCCUAGAAAGGGAACCUGGAAUGAAUAGGAGCUGGCAGGAUGCAUUGUACAUCAGUUUGGAAUGUGCAGGGGCCAACAGGAUACAGCAUGCAGUGUGUCAGUAUGCCGGAGGGCUGAUGGGAUACCCACAAAUACCUUUCAAUAUCUCUUUGCUUCAGGAUUUACUCAGGUUGUCCU